rnacentral:rRNA from 1 species
CCUACGGGCGGCAGCAGUGGGGAAUAUUGCACAAUGGGGGAAACCCUGAUGCAGCGACGCCGCGUGAGUGAAGAAGUAUUUCGGUAUGUAAAGCUCUAUCAGCAGGGAAGAAAUAGCGACCUUUGGGUCGCCAGACGGUACCUGACUAAGAAGCCCCUGCUAACUACGUGCCAGCAGCCGCGGUAAUACGUAGGGGGCAAGCGGUAUCCGGAUUUACUGGGUGUAAAGGGAGCGUAGACGGCAGCACAAGUCUGAAGUGAAAUGCCGGGGCUCAACCCCGGCGAGCCGGUGAAACUGGCGGGCUGGAGUUGGAGAGAAGUACGCGGAAUGCGCGGUGUAGCGGUGAAAUGCUUAGAUAUCGCGCAGAACCCCGAUUGCGAAGGCAGCGUACCGGCUCCACACUGACGCUGAGGCACGAAAGCGUGGGUAUCGAACAGGAUUAGAUACCCCAGUAGUC